CAGAGCGUUCGAGACACAUCUUUUACAAUAUUUAUAAAAAUGCGAUUAUUCGUGAUAUUUUGUUUGCUCUUGGCUAUAAUAACGACAGUGGUGGGUGAGCAUUUGAUCAUGGGUGAUACUAAUAGUAAUCGGCAGCUAAUUCAUCACACAAUGGCGCAGUAUCAUGCCAUACCAAUGAUGAAGAGGGUGAAGAAUGUGUUUUAUAAUAAUCAGGAGCAACGAAUAAUCAGCAGCAUCAUGGCCUACGACAACCUUAAUUCAAAGGCGUCCGCUACGGUAACCGCCGGUGGCAUCGGAUUCUCCUACGUCAACAUAAGGCUCAAGAGUGAACGUGGAAAAGGAUUGGACUAUGACAUUGGGAUAUAUUCUUAAUUUUUACAAAUGUAGGGUCGAUUUUACUAUCACUGGACAGAAGUUAUUCUAAUAAAUUAUAAUCUAAGUAUAAAGGUGAACCUAUUAAAUUGUUUUGUUCAUGUAAGUUUUAAUUUGUACAUAUCGCACUUUCAGAAUGAAUACUGACAUAAUAAAAAAUGCGAUAGUGGCUUUGAUCAAUAAAACUAGCAUUUUUCUAAUUAUUGAUGAAAAUCACUGUUGCAUUUUUUCUGGCCAAAAAGUGUCCUUACUAUUUCCCCCUUUUUUGAUUCGCGUCAUUUUUAUAAUAUUACACUUCAAAAUAUUAGAUUUUAAUUGUAUAGAUGUAUGAUUGAAGCAAUAUCUUAUACACUUCAUUUAGAUUAAAAAUAAUAUAUUAAGUGCCUUUUACCAAUUUACCAAAAAAAGAAACUGAUUUUUGUAUAAUGUUAAUUUAAUUCUAAAGGUGCGAUAUUAUUAUUCUAUGAAAAACUUUUAUCUCAAGACUGAAAAGGCUCCUAGUAAGUAUUCCGAUUGACAGGCAGUUUUUUCAUGAACUGUGGAAAUAACCACUUAAGCAAAAGCCACAAGAGGUGCCACGACACAAUCGUUAAACUGUAGGCAAAAGUAACAAUAACUUUGACUUACUCUCAAUAUCUAAAGUAAAAUAUUAAGACUGAAUUGAUUCAAACAGAAGACAAUGGUGACAAAACGUUAAUUUCAAUCAAUAAAAUAAAUGUUGAUCGGAAACUCAUUCAAUAUAAAAGUGAUCAGUAUAACAUAGGAAAUUAAUGUAUUUAUAUUCUAAAUAAAACUAUUUUUUGUACGGACCAAGUGGCAGUAACGUCUUGAUUUACCCUUUUUUUUUAUUUGAAUUUGGACCUUAAAUGAAACAUCAUAGUACCUAUUAUUACUAUUAUUGUUCUUUUUUAUUUACAAUAAAAUCUUCCUUAUCAAUCUAGUGUGGCCAAUUAAAUUAAUAAGUUUGUAAAGAAUUCAUUAUAUUAUGUAAAAUGGAAUGCACCUUUUAGAUAUCUACGUCCUGCUUAUUAACAAGUUUUAUUAUGAUUCCAAUAUCUAUGUAUAAAAUGAAUUAAUAAUUGUAACUUCUAAUAGGUUGAUGUUUAUCAUUUCUUUUUUAUUUACAGUUGUAAAAAAAUUAGGUAAUUAGCGGGCAUAUCGAAAAUCAUAUUUCGAAUUUUAUAAUCUGUAUUGUCUUGACUUUGCAAAAAAUCCCCCUUUAACUAUUUUAAAUAACUACAUACACAUUCACGUCUUUUAUUUCCGAUGGAGUAGGCAGAGGCACUGAGGUACUGUACCCACGUUCCGCCGUUUGCAUCCCGUCCCAUGAUGUGAUAGGAGGAAAGUCUAUCCACAUAUCGGGCACGAAUUCCAGACUCCAGGCUGAGACUGAGCAGAGAACCCCAAUAUCAUUUUGCCCCACCCGGGAUUGAACCCGAGACCUAAGUACUGCAAUUGUACCGUAAUACAACUACGGUACUGAGGCAGUUAAAUAAACAUACAUUGUACAAAAGUCUUUAUUCCCGCUCAAUAAACUUAAAAUUAUUAAAACCCACGAUACAUUCAAUAGGACAAUAUUGGCAAUAAGCAAACACCUAAUUGCUCCAACUCUCUAUAUUCUAAUAAAACUUAUACCCAUUCACAGUUCAAUUUCAAAAAGAAACUAAGUAAUAAAUUUAUGCAUAUGUUACAUGAAGCAGGAAGCAGCAUACCCGACACGUCAAGUGGCUCCUUUCUAAUAUUUCAUAGGUAAAAAGGAAAAUUGUAUCAACGCAGAAGAGUGGGAUGUGACAGCGAAUCCAAAUUGGAGUCGACAUGCUUUUAGCGCGUCUCGGCCUUUCGAGAAUAGCGGUAGAAUAGAAUCACCGCGCCACCUCGCUCCAAGUUUUUACUACGACACAAGUUAUAAGGGUAAAGCAGGAUUUAGAAUAAUUUUGUGUUUUAUUCAAGGAUUAAAGAAAAUGUAAACAAAUGUCUAGCUUUGGAUUACCUUCUCUAUAGUUUUUGAUAAAAUUUUAAAAUGUGAAUAGGAUAUUUGAAACAGAGGUAUUCUUCGUAAUUUUUGUUUUGCUGUGAACUUGAAUGAGCGUAAAGUGAUAUAAUAAAUCUGUCUUAAGUCAUCGA